rnacentral:lncRNA from 10 species
AUGCGCGGUCUGCCUCCCGCGGCGGGCCGGGUCUCCAGGGAGGACCUGAGUUUUUCUUCACCCAUGGUCAGGGAGGCGCCAUCGCCCUGGCUUUGGGGCUGGGGCCUCCGGGGAGGUUCCGGUAGGGGCGUUGGAGAGGCCGCUCUUUUUGCAAGGCCCGAGAUGGCGGGCCCUGCGCAGGCCGCCCUAUUCCGCGCCCUCAGGGCGUCAGUAUCCGCCUGAGGCCGGAUACCCACUCUGGGCUCGGAUACCCGCGCUGGGCCCGGAGCAUCCUCGGCGCUGCCCUCCCAGAGCCCCGCAGAGGCUGAGGUGGCGCGGGGGCGGCCCCGGCUCCGCGAGAAGAGGCGGCAGCGAGGGCUGGAGGACCCGGGCUACGGGGCUCCGGGGCGUCUGGCCUGGGUGGGACUGAGCCCAUCCAGGGACUGGGACUCCGGGGUUCUGGUGUAGGUGGAUCCCGGGCAGGCUCAGGACCAAGACCCUCUCCUUCCACCAAGGAGCGCCCAGAGGCCGGCGGGAGCUCCAGGUUCACCUCCUCCUCCUCCAGGAAAUCCCACUUCCAGCUGGAUGUCUGGAUGAACUCCUGAAAGCUGCUGAGUGUCCUGCAGCAGGCCAUUUCCAAUCCAGAGGAAGACCUUCUAGAAGAAGUGAUGGGUGGGAGAGUGCUGACAUACUAUGCAAAGCUACUAUUUGGAGUUGGACACGAGUGCAUGUGACCUUGUGCCACAGCGGGAAUGUGAGCUGGAUGACAAAUGGAGAUUUGGACUUGUGAUAAUUGGCCUCUGUGUCAUUGUGUGGAAGACUGACUGGUCCCUUUAUUUCCUGUAGCUUGACUACCACACAAAUUAAUCCACUCAAAUGUUGGCAAGUGGAGCAGAGUCCCAGGACAGAGUCUCACUCUGUCACCCAGGCUAGAGUGCAAUGGCAUGAUCUCGGCUCACUACCACCUCCGCCUCCAGGGUUCAAGCGAUUGUCCUGCCUCAGCCUCCCAAGUAGCUGGAACUACAGGCACGUGCCACCACACCCUGCUAAUUUUUUGUAUUAGUAGAGACAGGGUUUCACCGUGUUGGCCACUGACUUCAUGAUCCCAAAGUGCUGGGAUUACAGUGCCUCGGCCUCCCAAAUGCUGGGAUUACAGGUGUGAUCCCACUAAUGGUUUUUUCAUGACCUAUCUUGUGUGCUCCU